GUCAGGAUGGCCGAGUGGUCUAAGGCGCCACACUCAAGCUGUGGAGGCGUGGGUUCAAAUCCCACUUCUGACA